rnacentral:rRNA from 1 species
CGUGUCAGCCGCCGCGGUAAUACGUAGGUGGCGAGCGUUGUCCGGAAUUAUUGGGCGUAAAGGGCGCGUAGGUGGUUUUCUAAGUCAGAUGUGAAAACUCCGGGCUUAACUCGGAGAUUGCAUUUGAGACUGGAAGACUUGAGGACAGGAGAGGAAAGUGGAAUUCCCAGUGUAGCGGUGAAAUGCGUAGAGAUUGGGAGGAACACCAGUGGCGAAGGCGACUUUCUGGACUGCCCCUGACACUGAGGCGCGAAAGCUAGGGGAGCGAACGGGAUUAGAUACCCCGGUAGUCCUAGCCGUAAACGAUGGAUACUAGGUGUGGGAGGUAUCGACCCCUUCCGUGCCGCAGUUAACACAAUAAGUAUCCCGCCUGGGGAGUACGGCCGCAAGGUUGAAACUCAAAGGAAUUGACGGGGGCCCGCACAAGU